rnacentral:rRNA from 1 species
GACGUAGGGCGCGAGCGUUGUCCGGAUUUAUUGGGCGUAAAGAGCUCGUAGGCGGUUUGUCGCGUCUGCUGUGAAAACUCAGGGCUUAACUCUGAGCUUGCAGUGGGUACGGGCAGACUAGAGUGCGGUAGGGGAGACUGGAAUUCCUGGUGUAGCGGUGAAAUGCGCAGAUAUCAGGAGGAACACCGGUGGCGAAGGCGGGUCUCUGGGCCGUAACUGACGCUGAGGAGCGAAAGCAUGGGGAGCGAACAGG